GCUCAGUGUACAGGCUAUACUUAGCUGUAAAUCACCAUGUUUUAAUGGUUACCACCCAAUGAGAAUCAAACUUUCUUUAGGAAAAAAAGUAGAAAGUACAAAUGCAAAACACAGUUAAAAAGAACUAUUCAUAUCAAGGUUUCCUGCUUGCAUGAUUAAAAUAGGUGAUUUUUAAUUGCUUUGAUCUGAAUCAAUCUACCCUGAUUAGUAGUCCCUCCAUGUUGAGCUGGGAGGUAAAUUUAGCAAGAAUAUAAUUAAGGCCUUGAGCCAGCUUCUUGUAUUGCAUUGGCAAACAGGGCUCUCAUGGAACCCUGUUGGCUUGAAUAGAGCUGCAUGUGGGUGCCAGGAUCUUUCCACAUGGAGCAAGUUGCAGGAUCAGGGCCAAAAGAAUUUUACAUGCAGCUUUUCUCUGUAACCACGACCGCUAGAAACUUAAAGGACAGCUGUGAUUCUCCCAUAACCCCUUGACUCCAGGAAUUGGGGCUUUAAGUAAACCUCCAAAUAUUAUGAUCAAUAAAAUCUUGAGCCUUGGCAAUGCUGCCAGAUAUGGAAAAUCAGGGGAUUGGCAAAAUAGCAGCAAUCACUAGCUCACUAAAAAACGCUGGCAAAAUCUAAGAACCAGAAAUCCAUCUUGAAAACUCUUGAGCUACUCUCAACCAAAAUGUGAGGACGUGGGGCAUGUGACGACCAAUUCCUGGAUGCAGAGUUUGAGGAGAAAUGAACUAGAGUUUUUGCAACAUGCACAUUGUUUACUCAGAUUCCAUUCGGCUAAUUCCUGUCUGAAAGGUGAGCAUGCUGUUAUGAGCUGGGUGAAAUCUUGCUAUGAGCUGAGUUAAACCCUUUUGAAUGCACCUUUCAUUUAAGAUUUCUCAAAUUAAAGAGACAGUUCAGGGGGGACAGCUGACACCAGUUCUGGGAGUCUGCCCAGAAACCAGCAACAGUGGGCAGAGGGCUCCACUGGCUACAGUUCUGAUCAGGUGUGUGUAUGGUGGUGAGGGGAGAGACAAGCUGCAGGGCAGACGAGAACCUGAAAGAAUGAGACCGACAGAGGGACAGCCUGAGCAAGCUGGAUGUCUGACUCUGGAAGAACCUAGAGAGAAGGGGGCAAGGAAGGAGAGAGAAUUAUACUUAUUAAAGAAAAUGCAGUACAAAAAGCACUUCCCCAAAGCAGUAUUUUUUUGGAAUGACCUCUCCUUCAAAAUCUAGAAAGUCUGGUGCUCUGAAUUUUUCCAGAGUUGGAAUAAACUGCAAGCCAGCUGUCUACUGUCCAGCAAUCACACUCCAAGGUUUGACUCUUAGCCAAGGUCUACACUACGAGUUUAGGUCGAAUUUAGCAGCGUUAGGUCGAUUUAACCCUGCACCUGUCCACACGAUGAAGCCAUUUUUGUCAACUUAAAGGGCUCUUAAAAUCGAUUUUU